rnacentral:rRNA from 1 species
CCUACGGGAGGCAGCAGUGGGGAAUAUUGCACAAUGGGCGAAAGCCUGAUGCAGCGACGCCGCGUGAGGGAUGACGGCCUUCGGGUUGUAAACCUCUUUCAGCAGGGAAGAAGCGAAAGUGACGGUACCUGCAGAAGAAGCGCCGGCUAACUACGUGCCAGCAGCCGCGGUAAUACGUAGGGCGCAAGCGUUGUCCGGAAUUAUUGGGCGUAAAGAGUUCGUAGGCGGCUUGUCACGUCGGAUGUGAAAGCCCGGGGCUUAGCCCCGGGUCUGCAUUCGAUACGGGCUAGCUAGAGUGUGGUAGGGGAGAUCGGAAUUCCUGGUGUAGCGGUGAAAUGCGCAGAUAUCAGGAGGAACACCGGUGGCGAAGGCGGAUCUCUGGGCCAUUACUGACGCUGAGGAGCGAAAGCGUGGGGAGCGAACAGGAUUAGAUACCCUGGCAGUCCACGCCGUAAACGUUGGGAACUAGGUGUUGGCGACAUUCCACGUCGUCGUGCGCNGCUACGCAUAGUUCCCGUCCGUCGGAGUACGCCGCGACGACGUAAACUACAANAGAGUAGACGCGUGAGACGUCGCCGACGACGACGACGAGGGAGGAGG